GUAAUUUUCAUAAUGGAAUGACGUCAUUUUAUUGUGAUAACGUCCUAUGGCUUUUUUUAUUUUAAACCCAUGAAACGCCUACCGACAUGGUAUAUCGAUUUGUUGGAUCAUAACGGAAUCAGUAUAAUAAUCGGAGGACAUUUUGAAAUCGAGGCCCCUCUGUUGCAUGACGGGAAGGUGUUUCUCCUUUAUGAACAAUAGCUCUGCACAUUCCAGUUCUGUGAGACCACAAGUUGUCACGUGGAACGUAUGCAGAUCUGAAAGAGAAAACACAGAGAACUUAUUAAAUUUAUAUAUAUUC